AUUGAACGCUGGCGGCAGGCCUAACACAUGCAAGUCGAGCGGAUGAAGGGAGCUUGCUCCUGGAUUCAGCGGCGGACGGGUGAGUAAUGCCUAGGAAUCUGCCUGGUAGUGGGGGAUAACGUCCGGAAACGGGCGCUAAUACCGCAUACGUCCUGCGGGAGAAAGUGGGGGAUCUUCGGACCUCACGCUAUCAGAUGAGCCUAGGUCGGAUUAGCUAGUUGGUGGGGUAAAGGCCUACCAAGGCGACGAUCCGUAACUGGUCUGAGAGGAUGAUCAGUCACACUGGAACUGAGCCACGGUCCAGCCUCCUACGGGAGGCAGCAGUGGGGAAUAUUGGACAAUGGGCGAAAGCCUGAUCCAGCCAUGCCGCGUGUGUGAAGAAGGUCUUCGGAUUGUAAAGCACUUUAAGUUGGGAGGAAGGGCAGUAAGUUAAUACCUUGCUGUUUUGACGUUACCAACAGAAUAAGCACCGGCUAACUUCGUG
rnacentral:rRNA from 1 species